rnacentral:rRNA from 1 species
UCAGAAUGAACGUUGGCGGCGUGGAUUAGGCAUGCAAGUCGAGCGAGAAUCUGUUGAAUGAUCCUUCGGGUGAAUGAUUCAGAGGACAGCGGCAAACGGGGUAGUAAUGCAUAGGUAUGUACCCUCUGGUCGGGAAUAGCCACGGGAAACUGUGGGUAAUGCCCGAUGAUCUGGUGACAGCAAAGGUGUGAUUCCGCCAGAGGAGCAKCCUGUGUGGUAUUAGCUUGUUGGUGAGGUAACGGCUCACCAAGGCUAAGAUGCCUAGGGGGUGUGAGAGCAUGGCCCCCACCACUGGGACUGAGACMCUGCCCAGACACCUGCKGGUGGCUGCAGUCGAGAAUCUUCCKCAAUGGGCGAAAGCCUGACGGAGCGACKCCSCGUGCGGGAUGAAGGCCUUCGGGUUGUAAACCGCUGUCAGAGGGGAUGAAAUCGUUGGGGGCUAUCCCCCUUCGUUGACAGAGCCUCAGAGGAAGCGCGGGCUAAGUUCGUGCCAGCAGCCGCGGUAAUACGAACUGCGCGAACGUUAUUCGGAUUCACUGGGCUUAAAGGGUGCGUAGGCGGCCUGUUAAGUAGGGCGUGAAAUCUGUCGGCUCAACCGGCAAAUUGCGUUCUAAACUGGCAGGCUUGAGUGGGUCAGGGGUGUGUGGAACUUCCGGUGGAGCGGUGAAAUGUGUUGAUAUCGGAAGGAACGCCGGUGGCGAAAGCGACACGCUGGGGCCUGUCUGACGCUGAGGCACGAAAGCCAGGGUAGCGAACGGGAUUAGAUACCCCGGUAGUCUUGGCUGUAAACGAUGAACACUAGGUUGGGGGGGCUUGUUCCUCCCAGCCGUAGCGAAAGCNUUAAG